rnacentral:rRNA from 1 species
GAUGAACGCUAGCUACAGGCUUAACACAUGCAAGUCGAGGGGAAACGAUAGAGAAAGCUUGCUUUUUCUAGGCGUCGACCGGCGCACGGGUGAGUAACGCGUAUCCAACCUGCCCAUCACUUGGGGAUAACCUUGCGAAAGUAAGACUAAUACCCAAUGACGUCUCUAGAAGACAUCUGAAGGAGAUUAAAGAUUUAUCGGUGAUGGAUGGGGAUGCGUCUGAUUAGCUUGUUGGCGGGGUAACGGCCCACCAAGGCGACGAUCAGUAGGGGUUCUGAGAGGAAGGCCCCCCACAUUGGAACUGAGACACGGUCCAAACUCCUACGGGAGCAGCAGUGAGGAAUAUUGGUCAAUGGGCGAGAGCCUGAACCAGCCAAGUAGCGUGAAGGAUGAAGGUCCUACGGAUUGUAAAACUUCUUUUAAUACGGGAAUAAAGUAUCCUACGUGUAGGAUUUUGUAUGUACCGUAUGAAUAAGCAUCGGCUAAACUCCGUG